rnacentral:sRNA from 1 species
GACCCUUAUUAAGCCGAGGGUCACCUAGCCAACUGACGUUGUUAGUGAAUGCAUUUUGUUCACAAUCUAUAUCGGCCAAUCGUGAUUAUUACGAUUGGCUCUUUUUU